rnacentral:misc_RNA from 1 species
GAAAUGCGAUAAGUAAUGUGAAUUGCAGAAUUCAGUGAAUCAUCGAAUCUUUGAACGCACAUUGCGCCCCUUGGUAUUCCGAGGGGCAUGCCUGUUCGAGCGUCAUUGUCAAAAUCUCAAGCCUGGCUUGGUGUUGGGCUCUCGCUCCUCUCCCACAAGUGUAGGGGGUUAUGGGGGGCGUGCCUGAAAAUCAUCGGCGGUGCCUCGAUGGCCUCAAGCGUAGUGGACUACUCGCGCUUUGGAGCGUCUGUCGUAGGCUCACCAGCCUGGAUGUAUCAUUAUAAAAGAAGCUUGACCUCGGAUCAGGUAGGGAUACCCGCUGAACUUAA